rnacentral:miRNA from 1 species
UAGCGGGGAUUCCAAUAUUGG